AGUGGACGCUGGCGGUAGGCCUAACACAUGCAAGUCGAACGGCAGCACAGUAAGAGCUUGCUCUUACGGGUGGCGAGUGGCGGACGGGUGAGGAAUACAUCGGAAUCUACUUUUUCGUGGGGGAUAACGUAGGGAAACUUACGCUAAUACCGCAUACGACCUACGGGUGAAAGCAGUGGAUCUUCGGACCUUGCGCGAUUGAAUGAGCCGAUGUGGGAUUAGCUAGUUGGCGGGGUAAAGGCCCACCAAGGCGACGAUCCGUAGCUGGUCUGAGAGGAUGAUCGGCCACACUGGAACUGAGACACGGUCCAGACUCCUACGGGAGGCAGCAGUGGGGAAUAUUGGACAAUGGGCGCAAGCCUGAUCCAGCCAUACCGCGUGGGUGAAGAAGGCCUUCGGGUUGUAAAGCCCUUUUGUUGGGAAAGAAAAGCAGCAGGUUAAUACCCCGCUGUUCUGACGGUACCCAAAGAAUAAGCACCGGCUAACUUCGUG
rnacentral:rRNA from 1 species